rnacentral:SRP_RNA from 1 species
GCUGGGCACGGUGGCACGUGCCUGUAAUCCCAGCUACUCAGGAGGCUGAGGUUGGAGGAUCUCUUGAGUCCAAGAGUUCUGAGCUGUAGUGCGCUGUGCCAAUUGGGUGUCCGCACUAAGUUUGGCCUCAACAUGGUGACCUCCCAGGAGCGGGGACCACCAGGUUGCCUAAGGAGAGGUGAACCAGCCCAGGUCAGAAACGGAGCAGGUCAAAACUACCGUGCUAAUCAAUAGUGGGAUCGUGCCUGUGAAUAGCCACUGCAUUCCAGCCUGGGCAGCAUAGUGAGACCCCAUCCCU